rnacentral:lncRNA from 1 species
GGCCCUGUGGUCCUGGCCUGGCCUCCUUUGGGACAGAGAUCCUAUGAUUGAGUCUCCCAAAUGCCCUGCCAAUCUGCUGCUCAAGCUCCUUGCUUGCCCUUCUGUAUUUCCUCUGAAGUAUAUUUUGUUGCCAUUUUCCGGUCAAAUAUUUUAAAACUUAGAUAUUUGGUUUUUAGUGGUUCCUUUGUGAAUUCAGUUCUUCCUCUAAAGGUACUCUCUUUUAUGUUAUGUGGAAUUUGUUGCUGGAUUGCCCUGUCACCACCACCAAAGGCUCAGAUAUUCUUUCUUCUCCAAUUUAACUCCAGUUUGUCAGCUGCUGAGUGGUGUAAAAUUCUUUUGCCGAGGAACAAGACCAUCCCAGUCAACUCCAUCCCACAGCCUGGCCAGUCAGCAGAGCGGACACCAUCUUAGGCCUCUUAUUUUUUCUUUUGCCCAAGUGUCUGAAAGGAGCAUCCUCUUUAAUUUAAGCCUACAUGUGGAGUGAACAUCCUUGCCUGUGACUCCCGAACAACAUAAACAGCUGUUUCUUGAAGACAGACAAGGAAGAGUAAAAUGGUUGGGAGAGAGAGAGUCUAUACAUUAAUGUCCAGCACCGAGUGAGCCCUUGUGAAGUGUGGACCUUGGAGAGCAUGUCAAGCAGUCUCAUUCAUUUUAACAAAUGCACCGUACUGGUGGGGGAUGAGGAGAAAGGACCAGGUGGGGGCACAAGAAUGCUGCAACCUGUUUCCUGAGAUGAAGUAUGGCUCUUAGAGACGGGCAUUUGGUGCACAGACUUCGGCCGGAAUACCUUUGCUCCUCCACACGGCUAUGCACACAUCAUUGAAGCCGGCGCAGUCGCCCACCCCUGAGCUCAUCUUCCAGAGUUCAAUCUGCGUACUUUGGACUGGGCCUGUGUACCGACUGGAAGACAAAUGGAG